AAGGAAUAUUGGACAAUGGUCGCAAGACUGAUCCAGCCAUGCCGCGUGCAGGAAGACGGCCCUAUGGGUUGUAAACUGCUUUUGUACCAGAGAGAACCUAUCUACGUGUAGAUAGCUGAUAGUAUGGUAAGAAUAAGCAUCGGCUAACUUCGUGCCAGCAGCCGCGGUAAGACGAAGGAUGCAAGCGUUAUCCGGAUUCAUUGGGUUUAAAGGGUGCGUAGGCGGGCUUGUAAGUCAGUGGUGAAAUCUCUCAGCUUAACUGAGAAACUGCCAUUGAUACUGCAGGCCUAGAGUAUAGAUGACGUUGGCGGAAUAUGACAUGUAGUGGUGAAAUACUUAGAUAUGUCAUAGAACACCGAUUACGAAGGCAGCUAACGAAACUAUAACUGACGCUGAGGCACGAAAGCGCGGGGAUCAAACA
rnacentral:rRNA from 1 species